rnacentral:rRNA from 1 species
AGCGAACGCUGGCGGCAGGCUUAACACAUGCAAGUCGAGCGGGCGUAGCAAUACGUCAGCGGCAGACGGGUGAGUAACGCGUGGGAACAUACCUUUUGGUUCGGAACAACACAGGGAAACUUGUGCUAAUACCGGAUAAGCCCUUACGGGGAAAGAUUUAUCGCCGAAAGAUUGGCCCGCGUCUGAUUAGCUAGUUGGUGAGGUAACGGCUCACCAAGGCGACGAUCAGUAGCUGGUCUGAGAGGAUGAUCAGCCACAUUGGGACUGAGACACGGCCCAAACUCCUACGGGAGGCAGCAGUGGGGAAUAUUGGACAAUGGGCGCAAGCCUGAUCCAGCCAUGCCGCGUGAGUGAUGAAGGCCCUAGGGUUGUAAAGCUCUUUUGUGCGGGAAGAUAAUGACGGUACCGCAAGAAUAAGCCCCGGCUAACUUCGUGCCAGCAGCCGCGGUAAGGCGUAUGUGU